rnacentral:rRNA from 1 species
CCUACGUGUGGCAUCAGUGAGGAAUAUUGGUCAAUGGACGAGAGUCUGAACCCGCCAAGUAGCGUGAAGGAUGACUGCCCUAUUGGUUGUAAACUUCUUUUAUAAAGGAAUACAACGAGGCACGUGUGCCUUUUUGCAUUUACUUUAUGAAUACGGAUCGUCUACCUCCGUGCCAGCAGCCGCGGUAAUACGGAGGCUCCGAGCGUUAUCCGGAUUUCUUGGGUUUAAAGGUAGCGGAGAUGGGUUGUUAAGUCAGUUGUGAAAGUUUGCGGCUCAACCGUAAAAUUGCAAUUGAUACUGGCAGUCUUGAGUACAGUUGAGGUAGGCGGAAUUCGUGGUGUAGCGGUGAAAUGCUUAGAUAUCACGAAGAACCCCGAUUGCGAAGGCAGCUUACUAAACUGUGACUGACAUUGAUGCUCGAAAGUGUGGGUAUCAAACAGGAUUAGAUACCCGUGGAGUC